rnacentral:rRNA from 1 species
CAAGUGAUCAUGGCUCAGAACGAACGCUGGCGGCGUGCCUAACACAUGCAAGUCGAACGAGAAAGUUUCUUCGGAAACUGCAAAGUGGCGCAUGGGUGAGUAACACGUGAAUAAUCUGCCCUCAAACCUGGGAUAACUUGACGAAAGUUAAGCUAAUACCGGAUAAGACCACGUCUCAUAUGAGACGCGGUAAAAGGAGUCUCAAACUUCAUUUGAGGAUGAGUUCGCGGACCAUUAGCUUGUUAACGGGAUAACAGCCCACCAAGGCUUCGAUGGUUAGCCGGCCUGAGAGGGUGAUCGGCCACACUGGAACUGAGACACGGUCCAGACUCCUACGGGAGGCAGCAGUGGGGAAUUUUGCGCAAGAACCGAAAGCCUGACGCAGCAACGCCGCGUGAGGGAUGAAGGUUUUCGGAUCGUAAACCUCUGUCGAGUGGGAAGAAAAAAAUGACGGUACCACUAAAGGAAGCUCCGGCUAACUCCGUGCCAGCAGCCGCGGUAAUACGGGGGGAGCGAGCGUUGUUCGGAAUUAUUGGGCGUAAAGCGUAUGUAGGCGGUGACAUAAGUCAGACGUGUAAGCCCUCGGCUCAACCGAGGAAUUGCGUUUGAAACUAUUCGACUCGAGUAUAGGAGAGGAAAGCGGAAUUCCCAGUGUAGCGGUGAAAUGCGUUGAUAUUGGGAAGAACAUCUGUGGCGAAAGCGGCUUUCUGGCCUGUUACUGACGCUGAGAUACGAAAGCCAGGGUAGCGAACGGGAUUAGAUACCCCGGUAGUCCUGGCCCGUAAACGAUGGGCACUGGGUGCGGGGAGUUAUAGAUCCUCUCCGUGCCGCAGCUAACGCAUUAAGUGUC